UUGUAGCAAACCAAGAAACUUGAUUUAUUUCUGAUUCUUUAUUGCUAAAGAUUGCUCGAUUACUUUUCCAUCUAGCCUAUCUGCUUCGGGAUAUAAAAGUCACUUGGUGUAAUUUGUAAAGUUGUUGUCAUCUGACUAGGAGGUCAUGGGUUCGUGCUGUGACACAGCCUCGUGCAGAAAUGCAUGGAGGGCUGUGUGCACCAGACCCUUGGAGUCUGGCCCUCCCUUGGACUCCGUGCAUAGCGGGAGCUUAGUGCACCAAUCUGCCCUUAAUCUUGUAAUUUAAAUCAUUUGAAGUACUUAGAGUGAAUUAAAUUGAUGGUAGCAUUGCUAUUAAAAAUUUCCUAUGUUUUAGAUAGAUGAGAAAAGUGGAGCUGAAGUAGUUCAAUUCUUUUUUAAACAAUAGUAGGAGAUUAUUCAAUCUCUUAGUUUCUAGCUUGUUUGGUGGAGCAAAGUGGUGAUAUAAUUUCUUGAUCGCAACUUCACUGGUGAUUGGUUUUGCUCUAUGAUCUUAGUAAAAUAAUGAUUUGAUUCCCUGAUAAGCCCAUGUUGCUCAAUAGUUUACAUUGUAAAGUGUUUCAGAAUGGUUGUCAUGUAUUUCUGUGUUACUACUGAUUUGGCAGGACGAUAUAAACCAGAUAAGGCUUGAUUAUUUAGACAUCAAGAUGGGAUGUUUCACGGUUUCAAAGAGUAAGAAAAAAAUAUCCGAGCAGAGCAUCCACAUCAAACGUGUGAACCCUCACGAGCAGUCACCUACUGCACUGCCUGAACCCCAGAGAUCAACAAGAUCAUUGCAGUCCGCACCACCAAGUUUUAGAACAAGAGCAAAACCUGUGCAGUCAAACAGAGGAGUAACAACAAGUAGGACACGAACUCUAUCUGCCCCAUCAAGUCUGGAUUCAGCGGAUCAAGAUGCUUUAGCAUCGAAUGAAUGUGAGGAACAUGAAGAGUUGACUAGUCGUGCUGGAUCAAUAAAGGAAUACAGGUCAUCAGUUCCUCAGCCUCUUCCUCUUCCAUCACCACAGAAUGCCGCUGCUCUCAGGACUACAAGAAGCUUCAAAGUGGGGAAUACAAGUAUUCCUCUCAAUGCCUCUGGACCAUUGCCACUGCCUCCUGUGCUGCCUCCUACAUUGCCUUCUACUGGAACGCUGCGGAACUUUGCUUUCGAUGAAAUUUCUGCCGCAUGCCACCAUUUCUCUCCAGAACGCUGUAUGUCAGAAGGUCUCUCUUCUGUCAUCUACAGAGCUUCGUUUGGGGAUGAUGCCUCUGGUACAAAGAAGCUUGAAGCCACUAUAACUCGUCUUCACCCUUCUUCACAGGUAAUGUUCAAUUACAUUGGCAUGUUUUGACUUUAUAUUAUUCCCACUGUAUGUCAUCUGCUGAUUAGUCCCUUUCUUAUCUGUCAUGUCUGAUGAUGCAGUAAUUCUGUAAUGCCAUUCUAUGUCGCUUGGACUCUUUAAAAAUGUCAAAGGGUGCGUGUCGGAUUCGCCAAAACUAGUGUAUUUUCGGAGAAUCCGACACGGGUGCGGCCGCAUCCCCCCCCCCCCCCUCGUUCCAUCCCAACCCCAACUCUAGUCUUCUUUUUCCUACUAAUCUUUUGCCUUUUUACUCAUAAAAGUCUCAUCUUUUUGCCUCUCCGCAUAUAUAUUUCUCCAACUUCUUGUUAGGGUUUCUUUCCUCACCCAAAAAUUGCCCAUUAAUCCAACAUAAUUGAAUGAAAAUUCAUUACAUGGGUUGUUUUUUCUUCCCAAGAAAUCAGUAAAGAUCCAAACUUUGAGCUCAAAAAAGUGUCCAAGGUUGGUUUCUUUUUAGCUUUUCUCGAUUUUACUUUCUUGUUAAUUUUUGUAAUUCAGCUGAAAAUUUUGCAUCUUGGGGUCUUUUUUCCCCUCUAAUAUGUGGAUUAAGGAAAUCUAGUUGUUUGGUAGCUCAAAUUAUAUUGUUCAUUUAUUAGUGUUUCUUGAAAAUUUGCCCUUUGGAUAAUCUUGUUGCAAAUUGACCAAACUUUCAAAUUGUAGCAAACCAAGAAACUUGAUUUAUUUCUGAUUCUUUAUUGCUAAAGAUUGCUCGAUUACUUUUCCAUCUAGCCUAUCUGCUUCGGGAUAUAAAAGUCACUUGGUGUAAUUUGUAAAGUUGUUGUCAUCUGACUAGGAGGUCAUGGGUUCGUGCUGUGACACAGCCUCGUGCAGAAAUGCAUGGAGGGCUGUGUGCACCAGACCCUUGGAGUCUGGCCCUCCCUUGGACUCCGUGCAUAGCGGGAGCUUAGUGCACCAAUCUGCCCUUAAUCUUGUAAUUUAAAUCAUUUGAAGUACUUAGAGUGAAUUAAAUUGAUGGUAGCAUUGCUAUUAAAAAUUUCCUAUGUUUUAGAUAGAUGAGAAAAGUGGAGCUGAAGUAGUUCAAUUCUUUUUUAAACAAUAGUAGGAGAUUAUUCAAUCUCUUAGUUUCUAGCUUGUUUGGUGGAGCAAAGUGGUGAUAUAAUUUCUUGAUCGCAACUUCACUGGUGAUUGGUUUUGCUCUAUGAUCUUAGUAAAAUAAUGAUUUGAUUCCCUGAUAAGCCCAUGUUGCUCAAUAGUUUACAUUGUAAAGUGUUUCAGAAUGGUUGUCAUGUAUUUCUGUGUUACUACUGAUUUGGCAGGACGAUAUAAACCAGAUAAGGCUUGAUUAUUUAGACAUCAAGAUGGGAUGUUUCACGGUUUCAAAGAGUAAGAAAAAAAUAUCCGAGCAGAGCAUCCACAUCAAACGUGUGAACCCUCACGAGCAGUCACCUACUGCACUGCCUGAACCCCAGAGAUCAACAAGAUCAUUGCAGUCCGCACCACCAAGUUUUAGAACAAGAGCAAAACCUGUGCAGUCAAACAGAGGAGUAACAACAAGUAGGACACGAACUCUAUCUGCCCCAUCAAGUCUGGAUUCAGCGGAUCAAGAUGCUUUAGCAUCGAAUGAAUGUGAGGAACAUGAAGAGUUGACUAGUCGUGCUGGAUCAAUAAAGGAAU
rnacentral:lncRNA from 1 species